CGCCUCCCCUCGCCGCGCCGCCACUUCUCCUCCGGCCGCAACCGCCGUGGCCUCCACGACGAGCUCGGUCUUUAGUGAUUGAAAAGCAAUGGUGGAGCAUGGAAGCCCCCUCAACAAUGUUGAACAAGUGUUCAUUGCUGCCUGAAUGUACCGAAAUAGGUUCGGACAGAGCACGAAUAUGGCGGUUGGUCUACCGCUUGGUAGCAGGCAGAUAGUAGUGUACAUGCUUGCUAUGCUUGCUAGUAGAAGACUUCGAUCCGACAUACUGGAUAUUAGGGCGUUUGUGUUGCAUGGUUGGGUGAUGUACCACUGGAAGCAUUGCUAUGCUUUGUCUGCUGUCGCUGUUUUCUGUAGAUGAGGUGCCGCGCGUUGCAUGAAGAUUGCCCGGAUGGUUUGUUUGGCCCUCUGAGCGGUGCAGAUGUAAUUUUUAUUAUGAUUGAGGUCCUUUGUAUUUUUGGCGAACAAAAGAAAAAUGUGUGUAUGCUGUUUGGCUCAGCAUAUUGCUGCCGGAAUCAACUUUAUGAUCUAUUCCGAUGCAAGAAGAAAAUAGAAACUCUGUUUGAUGCUUGCUCGGAUAACCAGAAGGGAAAUGCUUGUUUUUCCAGCCGCCAUAAAAGCUUCGGAGAAAAUCGCACCUCAGAAUAUGUUGGCCACACAACUACAAGCUAUUUUUCGUCCUAUAUAUGCUGCCAUAUACUGUAUUAUGUACUCCCUCUGUCCCGUAAUAUAAGAACGUUUUUGGCACUAGUGUAGUGUCAAAAAGGUUCUUAUAUUAUGGGACGGGUGGAGUAUAUCUUUUUUCUUUAUGGCCUCUCUGAAAGGGACCUGUUUUUCUUAUGGAUCAGCUCGGACAGGUAUGAUCACACAGUUUUUGUUCAAACGGAGGUAGUAUGUGAUUU